rnacentral:misc_RNA from 1 species
GAUAAAGAACGCAGUGAAAUGCGAUAAGUAAUGUGAAUUGCAGAAUUCAGUGAAUCAUCGAAUCUUUGAACGCACAUUGCGCCCGCCAGUAUUCUGGCGGGCAUGCCUGUUCGAGCGUCAUUACAACCCUCAGGCCCCCGGGCCUGGCGUUGGGGAUCGGCGGAGCCCCCCGUGGGCACACGCCGUCCCCCAAAUACAGUGGCGGUCCCGCCGCAGCUUCCAUCGCGUAGUAGCUAACACCUCGCGACUGGAGAGCGGCGCGGCCACGCCGUAAAACACCCAACUCUUCUGAAGUUGACCUCGAAUCAGGUAGGAAUACCCGCUGAGUUUAAGCAUAUCAAUAAGCGGAGGA